UACGGCUACAUCAUGCUCAAACACUGGUUCCCAUAUGAUCACCGAAGUUAAGCAACGUCUAGCGUGGUCAGUACUUAAAUAGAUGACCGCUUUGGGGUACCAGAUGCUGUAA